GUGCUCACUUUGGCAGCAAAUAUACUAAAAUUAGAACAAUAUAGAGAAGAUCAGCAUGGCCCCUGUCUAAGGAUGACAUGCAAAUUCGUGAAGCAUUCCAUAUUUUU
ensembl:snRNA U6 U6 spliceosomal RNA